GGACAAUAUUUGAGCAUUUGCUAUGUGUUUUUAGUUUCUUAAAAUGCUCAUAUACAAGUAACAGAUUAACACAGCAGCAGGAUAUACACGCAAAUACCAAUAAGUAUGUUUAAUAUGACAUCUUUUUCAUUUGUGCUUCAUGUCUCAACAGCGAAUGACUCUCACAGUGAACUGAAGGGUUUGUGAGAAGCAGUGAAGUCAUGCAUACAGAUGGCAGUGCCGGUAUUGGUGGAAAUGAUGCUUCCUGAACUGUUGUAGCGGCGGUCCCAGAGGACUGAGCCACAGUCCAAUAAGAUGUCAUGAAGACUAGACCGAGAGGAGCGCGCAUCAGAUCUCCCUCAAUUAAUCCACCAUUAGAUGCCUGGAAUUCAUAGCUCACUGCCUUUGCUUCAAAUCUAAUUAGACACACACUCUCUCUCUCUCUCUCUCUCUCGGCUUCUCUUUCUCCAUGUCCAUCCCUCCUUAGAUCGAAAGAUAGACAGAUCUUUCCUCACUGAGCCCUGUGGUUGGGUAUUUUAGGUGUUCCUCCCUCCCUCUCUCUCCUCUCUCUCUCAGUAUCUUAUCCUUACAGCCACAUACUCACUCUCAGUCUGUCCCUCUCUCUCACACUCCUGCUUUCUCUCCCUCCCACUCUCUCUCUGUAACUCUCUCGGUCCUCUCAUCCUCCUGUGACUUAGUUUGCCGUGCGCAACAACUGGCAGAUGUCUGUUCUGUUCUCCGGCGAGGUGACGAGCCUGUUUGGGAGGAGAUCCUGCGCAUUUGGGCACAUGGUCUUAUGGCAGUGACGGAUCGGCGGCACAACAACCUGAAGGAACGGAGGCACGGCAUCCUCAGCCUUCCCCGUCACUGCCGGCUCGAGGCAGCGGACGAAUGGGCGGCUUUGUGCUCAGCGGGUGCCGCUCUGAAGAGAUCUCUAGGAUCUGGCCUGGAUGUUUGUGAGCACUUCCGCCCCCAGAGGCCGGGCUGGACCGAGGACAGGACGUGAGGUCCAUGAGCACCAGAUGCAACCUUUGACGGGGGCCUUGCCUUGUGGUAAAGGCCAUCUUCAAUCAAUUCCCCUAGAGAGAAAACUCUGCUUUGGCCUAUGCCACUGUGGAUGGCUGAAAGUCAGGCGAAGCCCCCUUUUUCUAAGGCUCUCUUCGGUGACGGGUAUUCUUGGGUGGAUAAUACGGCUCUCGUUGUUAUUGCUUAAGAAUACGCGUAGUUGAGGAGAGUCAUUGUCGACUGUCUUCUGGGAGAUAACCUUCACUGAUCCCAAAAACCUUCUGGCUUUGCACUGUGGCCAUUCAUGUAGCAACUAGGUUUUUACUGUGGUUUGUUUGAUUUCUGGAACAGGAGACAGACAGCUCUUGCUCUCAUUGAAUUGUCUCCACCUACAUUGGCAAAGCAACGUUUUAUGUACCACUAUCCAACGAGCGGCAUUUUGCAUUUCACACAACUUAGUAUUUUUUUUUUUCAUCUGAGUGUGCAUGCGAGGGGCGGUUCACGGGGAACGGCAUUAUUUUUGCUCUCUUCAGGGAGUGUUUUAGUGUACACAUGCCUGCUUGCCUGGCUGAUAGGAAUGCAUUUACUGCUCUUUAUUGUUAGUCCUGAGCACCAGCGGGAGCCCUGGACUGCAUGGGGUGUUCACACAGAUUGAUUUUGAGAUGGCAUUAGGUGUACAGUUUUCACUAUUCAGCUGACAGCGAUGGGAGGCAAAAUGUCCACAGAAUCUAAAAGGCUUUGCUAUGAAAGGGGAGGGGCUUCAAGUCUAAUUACGAAACGGAACUAAGCAGAAGCAGCAUAAUAGAUUACAUGAACGUAUCUACUGGGCUCACAGCAUCAGCUUUUUCCUUCUGAUUGUAGCACAGUUUCUCAGGACAAAAACUAAUUGAAUAUCAUUUUUUUUCCUCCUAGAUAAAGACACACUUCCACAUAAUGUUCUUUUCCAAACCACUAAUUACUUUUUAAUGAUGCGCUCAAAUGUCUGAGUUAGCUUGUGCUGGUGAAAGCCAAUGAGGCCUGUGGCAUAUAAAGAGGGUCAGUAUUUUUAAAAGCAGUCAUAUCUUUCUCACAGCUCUUAUCUAAGGAGUAUGUUGUUGGUAUAAUAUUUAACCAAGCUAUUUUCAUAUAACUGAAUGCAUUUAAGAUUAGCCUACCAUCUAUUUUUAAUGCCUUGUUAUAAACUACAGAUUUUACUGAAGGACUGGCAAUUUUAGAUGAAAGAAACAAAAACAAAACACUUUUUUAUUAUUUAUACAUAAUGUUUAUGUGGGUUACAAUUUAGUUAUACAGAACUGUUAAGAAAUUGUAAAUGCAUAGCUUACUUCUUUCAUUCUCUGCUUUUUUAAAAAUACCUGGAAGACAUAGAGGCAAAAUGUAAAUUGGCUGCUACUCUGUUUUAGUCACAUUAGCCACAGAGCUUGUGAAAAUAACCAGAGGCUUAUUAGAAAUACUCAUGAAAAGACCCCAUCACCAGAAACAAAGCAUAUUACUUAUAUUAUUAUGUAAUCUAGAUAUAUGAUGCAGAUAUUAUAGAUAUCACAAAGUUAUAUCAAGAAAUAUUAUAUUAUAUUAUUCUUUAAUUUAUUGUAAUGUCAUUCUUUGUUACUGAUGCACAAUGUUUUUGUUUUUUUUUUGUUUUUUGUUUUUCACUGUAAUUGUAUUUCAUUAAAAACUAGCAUUUAUUGAAUUAUUUUUCUGGACACUGAAUGUGCCUUUAUCAUUAAGUCAUGGCAAAUGUUGUAUCCAAUGACAGUUUGAACCCCUAAAUAAACUCUAUAAAAAUUCCGGAACA
ensembl:lncRNA